GUAGGGAAUAUUGGGCAAUGGUCGGAAGACUGACCCAGCCAUGCCGCGUGCAGGAAGACGGCCCUCUGGGUUGUAAACUGCUUUUAUCUGGGAAGAAAAAGGCCAUGCGUGGCAAAUUGCCGGUACCAGAUGAAUAAGCACCGGCUAACUCCGUGCCAGCAGCCGCGGUAAUACGGAGGGUGCAAGCGUUGUCCGGAUUUAUUGGGUUUAAAGGGUGCGUAGGCGGCUGAUUAAGUCAGCGGUGAAAGACUCCGGCUUAACCGGAGCAGUGCCGUUGAUACUGGUUAGCUUGAGUGUUGGAGGGGUACAUGGAAUUGAUGGUGUAGCGGUGAAAUGCAUAGAUACCAUCAGGAACACCGAUAGCGAAGGCAUUGUACUGGCCAACAACUGACGCUGAUGCACGAAAGUGUGGGGAUCGAACAGGAUUAGAAACCCGGGUAGUCC
rnacentral:rRNA from 1 species